ensembl:lncRNA
CGUUUGGGAGCUUUUGUUAUUUUAUUUUGAAGUUUAGAUCGUGACGUCAUUUUCUUCCGUUGCGCUCGCCAUUCCUCACUUGUUGUUUUAAUGCUGUGAGGAGACUGACGUGCUGCAGUGUCCUGUGUACUAAUGCUGCAUUAUUUGUGCAUUUAUUUCAUACAGAAAUAAAUACGCCACUGUCGCUACAGUUCGGCUAAAGUGACACACCAAGUCCCUGUGUCCUACUCCAUUUCACAACACACAACGCAGAGACAGACCGGUUACAUUGGUGCCGUGACCCGGAUUGACGUCGUGGACCAACACCAGCUUGGUCACCGGAGGUUGUUGGACGACAGAACAACGACGAACGAAAAAAAGACUGACGUGCUGCAGUGUCCUGUGUACUAAUGCUGCUGCAUUAUUUGUGCAUUUAUUUCAUACAGUAUGGAAGGGGAGAUUUGGAGGUACCUGGUCAGGUCUUGGUCAGCCUUCAAAUCCCAGAUGUGGAGACUGCAGGGAUACCUCACAGAGAAGACACUAAAGAGCCAUCUCUCAUUCAUCGAGUGGACUCAUUGGUUUGCAAAUGACCACAAAGAUGCUCCCAUAGGCAGAUUGCUGCAUGGCAUUCACCACUUAUUCAAAUUGAUGAGGUUGAAGCAGUCUUCCUUGUGGUCACUUGCCAUAACACUGUCAUGUGUUUUAUGAAAACACCAUCAGUAACAUUUAAAUUGAGUUGAUGUGGACGGCUCUUUUUUUUGUCCGAUUUCUUCAGUGUUCAGUGCCUGUUUGUGAGAUAUGCAUUGUUUGAAAGAUAAGCCUUUGAUUUUGUUUAAUUUUAAUAUGCC